rnacentral:rRNA from 1 species
UUGGUUGUUCCGCGGGUAAGGGUGUUGGGCGAGGUGUAGGCAAAUCCGCACCUCAUGUGCCUGAGACCUGACACGGACCCGUAAGGGGAAGUCGGUGAUCCUAUGCUGCCAAGAAAAUCUUCUAGCGAGGUUCUAGCCGCCCGUACCCCAAACCGACUCAGGUGGUUAGGUAGAGAAUACCAAGGCGAUCGAGUGAAUCGUGGUUAAGGAAUUCGGCAAAAUACCCCCGUAACUUCGGGAGAAGGGGGGCCCAGAGGGUGACGGGACUUGCUCCCCGAGCCUGAACGGCCGCAGAGACCAGGGAGAAGCGACUGUUUACUAAAAACACAGGUCCGUGCCAAGUCGCAAGACGAUGUAUACGGACUGACGCCUGCCCGGUGCUGGAACGUUAAGGGGACCGGUUAGCCUCACGGCGAAGCUGAGAACUUAAGCGCCAGUAAACGGCGGUGGUAACUAUAACCAUCCUAAGGUAGCGAAAUUCCUUGUCGGGUAAGUUCCGACCUGCACGAAUGGCGUAACGACUUCUCCACUGUCUCAACCACGAACUCGGCGAAAUUGCACUACGAGUAAAGAUGCUCGUUACGCGCAGAAGGACGGAAAGACCCCGGGACCUUUACUACAGCUUGGUAUUGGUGUUCGGUACGGCUUGUGUAGGAUAGGUGGGAGACUGUGAAGCUGACACGCCAGUGUCGGUGGAGUCAACGUUGAAAUACCACUCUGGUCGUUCUGGAUAUCUAACCUAGGUCCGUAAUCCGGAUCAGGGACAGUGCCUGGUGGGUAGUUUAACUGGGGCGGUUGCCUCCUAAAAGGUAACGGAGGCGCCCAAAGGUUCCCUCAGCCUGGUUGGCAAUCAGGUUUCGAGUGUAAGUGCACAAGGGAGCUUGACUGUGAGACUGACAAGUCGAACAGGGACGAAAGUCGGGACUAGUGAUCCGGCGGUGGCUUGUGGAAGCGCCGUCGCUCAACGGAUAAAAGGUACCCCGGGGAUAACAGGCUGAUCUUGCCCAAGAGUCCAUAUCGACGGCAUGGUUUGGCACCUCGAUGUCGGCUCGUCGCAUCCUGGGCUGGAGUAGGUCCCAAGGGUUGGGCUGUUCGCCCAUUAAAGCGGUACGCGAGCUGGGUUUAGAACGUCGUGAGACAGUUCGGUCCCUAUCCUCUGCGCGCGCAGGAAACUUGAGAAGGGCUGUCCCUAGUACGAGAGGACCGGGAUGGACGAACCUCUGGUGUGUCAGUUGUUCUGCCAAGAGCACCGCUGAUUAGCUACGUUCGGGAGUGAUAACCGCUGAAAGCAUCUAAGCGGGAAGCAUGCUUCAAGAUGAGGUUUCCAUGGGGUUUACCCCGAGAGGCUCCCAGCUAGACUACUGGGUUGAUAGGCCGGAUGUGGAAGUGCGGUAACGCAUGGAGCUGACCGGUACUAAUAAGCCGAUAACUUGUC